AGCAGUAGCCACGGUAAUACGUAGGUGGCAAGCGUUGUUCGGAAUUAUUGGGCGUAAAGGGCUCGCAGGCGGUUUCUUAAGUCUGAUGUGAAAGCCCCCGGCUCAACCGGGGAGGGUCAUUGGAAACUGGGAAACUUGAGUGCAGAAGAGGAGAGUGGAAUUCCACGUGUAGCGGUGAAAUGCGUAGAGAUGUGGAGGAACACCAGUGGCGAAGGCGACUCUCUGGUCUGUAACUGACGCUGAGGAGCGAAAGCGUGGGGAGCGAACAGGAUUAGAUACCCGCGUAGUCCCUGUCUCUUAUAC
rnacentral:rRNA from 1 species